rnacentral:lncRNA from 1 species
AGGGAUGCAAAACCUAGAGCCUCAGGGUCCUUUAAAUAGUGUCAGACGCGUCCUAAAGUGCGGUCUGGUUUGAAAGAAUCAAAUCAGAGCAGAAUCAGGGCCCGAUCCACGUGAAAUCAAGCUCAAGUGUUGUAGGGAGCUUGCCCAGGCCUGAAUUGGGGUUCAUGUUGGGCAUGGACAUCAGUUUUGGACGCCCAGGCUUUGAGUGUCCGUCGCUCGGGCGUCGGGGCCACCGCCCGGGCAACCAACGGUGAUAUGGCUCGCGCUAUUUUCUCG